rnacentral:rRNA from 1 species
CCUACGGGUGGCAGCAGUGAGGAAUAUUGGUCAAUGGACGAGAGUCUGAACCAGCCAAGUAGCGUGAAGGAUGACUGCCCUAUGGUUUGUAAACAUCUUUUAUAUGGGAAUAAAAUGUUCCACGUGUGGGAUUUUGUAUGUACCAUAUGAAUAAGGAUCGGCUAACUCCGUGCCAGCAGCCGCGGUAAUACGGAGGAUCCGGGCGUUAUCCGGAUUUAUUGGGUUUAAAGGGAGCGUAGGUGGAUUGUUAAGUCAGUUGUGAAAGUUUGCGGCUCAACCGUAAAAUUGCAGUUGAAACUGGCAGUCUUGAGUACAGUAGAGGUGGGCGGAAUUCGUGGUGUAGCGGUGAAAUGCUUAGAUAUCACGAAGAACUCCGAUUGCGAAGGCAGUUCACUGGACUGCAACUGACACUGAGGCUCGAAAGUGUGGGUAUCAAACAGGAUUAGAUACCCUAGUAGUC